AGUGAGGAAUAUUGGGCAAUAGGCGCAAGCCUGACCCAGCCAUGCCGCGUGCAGGAUGAAGGCCCUAUGGGUUGUAAACUGCUUUUGUACGGGACGAACCUCCCGAUCGUGAUCGGGACUGACGGUACUGUACGAAUAAGCAUCGGCUAACUCCGUGCCAGCAGCCGCGGUAAUACGGAGGAUGCAAGCGUUAUCCGGAUUCAUUGGGUUUAAAGGGUGCGUAGGCGGGGCGGUAAGUCAGUGGUGAAAGCCUGCAGCUUAACUGUAGAAUUGCCAUUGAUACUGUCGCUCUUGAAUGCGGUUGAGGCAGGCGGAAUGUGUAAUGUAGCGGUGAAAUGCUUAGAUAUUACACAGAACACCGAUUGCGUAGGCAGCUUGCUAAACCGUGAUUGACGCUGAGGCACGAAAGCGUGGGGAGCAAACAGGAUUAGAUACCCUGGUAGUCCACGCUGUAAACGAUGAUCACUCGCUGUUGGCGAUAUACUGUCAGCGGCUAAGCGAAAGCAUUAAGUGAUCCACCUGGGGAGUACGACGGCAACGUUGAAACUCAAAGGAAUUGACGGGGGCCCGCACAAGCGGAGGAACAUGUGGUUUAAUUCGAUGAUACGCGAGGAACCUUACCUGGGCUUAAAUGGGAGACGACUUCUGCCGAAAGGUGGAUUUCCUUCGGGACGGCUCUCAAGGUGCUGCAUGGUUGUCGUCAGCUCGUGCCGUGAGGUGUCGGGUUAAGUCCCAUAACGAGCGCAACCCCUAUCGUUAGUUGCCAACGGGUAAUGCCGGGGACUCUAGCGAAACUGCCAGCGUAAGCUGUGAGGAAGGUGGGGAUGACGUCAAAUCAGCACGGCCCUUACGUCCAGGGCUACACACGUGUUACAAUGGCCGGUACAGAGGGCUGCUACUGGGCGACCAGAUGCUAAUCUCUAAAGCCGGUCUUAGUUCGGAUUGAAGUCUGAAACUCGACUUCAUGAAGUUGGAUUCGCUAGUAAUCGCGCAUCAGCCACGGCGCGGUGAAUCCGUUCCCGGGCCUUGUACACACCGCCCGUCAAGCCAUGGAAGCCAGGGGUACCUGAAGUCCGUGAUCCCGAUUCGUCGGGAAGCGGCCUAGGGUAAAACUGGUGACUGGGGCU
rnacentral:rRNA from 1 species